ACCAGUGGGGAAUAUUGCGCAAUGGGGGAAACCCAGACGCAGCAAUACCGCGUGAGUGAAGAAGGUUUUCGGAUCGUAAACUCUUUCACUGGGGAAGAAGAAGUGACGGUACCCAAUGA
rnacentral:rRNA from 1 species